UGGGCUGCAUUGCGCAUGAGCAGCAACGAGGGCCGACGGGAAGGCGCCGGACACACAUGCGCACUCGUUGCCUGGCGACGCAGCGCCGCAAGCAGCCAGGCUGCCGCCACGCGCAUGCGCUGCUCUCUUGUUGCCGGGCGACCGCGCGGCGCCUCGGCGUUGGCGCCGUGCCACUGCGCGUGCGCAGUAGGUGUGUUUCCAGGUAACGCGUUUUGGGAUGAGCCGCGGAGUGGGCGCGGAGUUGGUGGGGCAGCGGUGGCGGGAUCCGGCCCCGGCCCCGGCCCCGGCCCCUGGCCCACACCCGGACCUAGACCCGACCAAGCCGGGUCCCGAGGAGCGGAUCGCCGCUCGCCGCCGCCGCAUCGCCGCCCGCAUCGACGCCGAGCGCCGGUGAGGAGCGGGCCGGCCAUCCCGCGGCCUGUUCCUCCGCCUGACGGCAGACGGGCACCCCGAGCCCUGCUGCUCUCGAGCCUUCUGCCCUCCCCUCCAGGCCCCUGCUGCUUUGGUCCGGCCCGGGCCCCUCAGCCUGAAGCGUGCCAGGUCAGGGUCUGCCCUUUUUCAGACCCUCACGAGCUCAGGCCUGUCCCCCGUCCCAACAGCGCCGUGUUGGCAGCCUCCAGCCAGCACCAGUGCAGUGCCUUCCCCCAGGAAUCCACCGUCAGAGAUGACCUCCUCUUCCCCAAACGGGCUCUAGGGUUGAUGCACGCAGCCCCAGAGCAGUACCCGCUCACUCCAAACUGGUACCUGCCCCACAUCCAGGGGCAGCACAAGCUCGGGGGCCACCUGCCUGGAGCUGGCAUCAGUUCUCAGAGCAUCCUCUGCCCCACACGAGCAGCGGGCCCAGGACCACAGAGCCGAGCCCUUGGAGAAAAUGAGGAGCCCAAGGAGGAGGCUGAGGAGGUGGAAAAGGAGAGAAGCAGCCACAAGCAGGUGGAGGAGAGCCAGCAGAAGCUGGCCAAGCUGCUCUCUGAAGGCACACGGAUGGUGACAGAUAUUCAGGUGGCUGCUGACUUGAGGGAAGUACAGAGGAGAGCAGAACAGGCAGAGCUGAAGCUACAGAGGGUGGAGAAGCUGGAGAAUGAAGCCAGAUCCAGCACCUGCAAGUUUGAGGAGAUCACCUCAAAGUGGGCCUUGGCCAAGAAGAUGACAAUCCCCCAGGAGCUGUGGCAGCUGCUGAACCAACAGCAGCAGCAGUGCACGCAGCUUCUGGAGGAGAAGAACAAGCUCAUUGGUGAACUGCAGCAGGAGCUGAAAAACAAAGAUGAGCAAUACGUGCAGACCAUUAAGAAGCAGUCAGAUGACAUCCACCUGCUUUUGGAGAGAAUGGAGGAACAGAUCAGGAUGAUGUUGAAAACGUACCGUCACAAAAUCCAUCAGAUUGAGAAAGCUUUUGAGCUCGAACGGCGAGAGCUGCUGGACAACAACAGAAAGAAGUGGGAGGAGGCCGUCCAGGCCCUCAACACAAAAGAGCUGGAAUACCUGCAUGCCCGUUUGAGGAAGUUGGAAGAGUAUGAGAAACAGCUGAAUCAGCUGCGUGUGCAGGAUGAGGAGGAGUAUAACAGCAUGAAGAUUCAUCUGGAGAGUGAUGUGCAGAACCUGGAGAGGCAGCUCCAGCAUAUGAAAGCUGUCUAUUUGGUGAACCAGGAGAAGCUGGAAUACAACCUCCAGGUGCUUAAGAAGCAGGAUGAGGAGAACACCAUCAUCAGAUCACAACAGAAGAGGAAGCUCAACCGGCUCCGCAGCUUACUCAAUAAUCUGAGAACAAAGCUGGUCACACAAGAGAAGCAGUUCAGAGAGGAGAACCAGAGUCUUGCAGCUGACUACGAGCGCAUCACGGGACAGUGCAAGGAGGUGCAGAGGAGGAUGAGGCAUUUUGCUGCCAGUGAUGCUGAGAAGUUCAUGAAGGUCUGGCUUAUGAACGAGGAGGAAGCCAAAGGGUUGAUGCGGAAAGCCCUCGAUGCAGAUCGUGUCAUUCACACCCAGCAACUGGGGCUGCCCUGGGAAGAGCCUCAUUACUGGUUCCUCAACAACGUCGGCCCCCUCAGGCAUUACAAGGCAAAGAGGAUGGCUGCCAAGUUGGCUGCAGAGGUCCUAACAGAGAGCACCUGUGGGGGACAGGAGGAGAAAGAGAAGGAGAAGGAAGAAGUGGGCAGCGGAGAUGGACAAGAAGAAAACGCAGCAAAAGCUGGGGAUACAGUCACACCUCUGCUAAAUAUCUCCAAGAAGACUGCCAAGAGGAUCCUGGAGCUCGUGAGCGAUGAGUCGGGCUUCCUCAUUGAAAGAAAGCUGCUGAGGCCUCUGCGUGCACUGGGAAAGCGUGAAUGCACCCUCUUGAGGCUUGACUCCAUCUUUUCGGCCCUCGAGAUUGACAGUGAGGAUGACCUGUACCAGCUGGUGGAUUUCUUCAUGAAGUACAAAGCCAAGGAAGGAGCUCUCAGCCAGAGCCAGGGAAGCCCAGGUGGAGAAGAUAUCACAGACCUGGGUGAGGACAGAGCAGAUGGUGAAUCCGGUGCCCAGAGUGAUGAGCUGAAAUCCUCUCAGAGACCGCUGGGCUCCCUUCCAUCUGUGUACAUCCACGCUGAUGACGUUCUAAAGAUCCUGAAAGCAUUUGUGCAGGAUUUUCACAAGCUGAGGGAGGAGGACAGUUCUGCAAAGGAGGUGCUACAGGUACGGGACAGCUCUAAGGACGGGGAGUACUGGGAAGCCUUGGCACAUGUUAUCCCAGAGCCAACACUGAAGCUGUGGGACGCUCUGGCGGUGGCACUGGAGGAAUAUUAGUGAGUACUUGGCACUGGGGACAAGGUAGGCUGAUGACUUGGCUGGGGGGAUUGCAGCAGGGCUGACACAGGCUGACCCUGCACACUGGCUGGGAGAGAGAGGAGUCUACCAACCUGGUGGCUGUCAUUGCUCACAUGGGCAGGGGCUCAGCAGGGACCUCUUGUGAUGUCCCCUAGGUGACUGAGAGGCACUGGACCCAGGGUGACAAGGGACAGUGUGCAGGGCUACCUUUGUGGGAGUGCUAGCUCUCAGUGCCAGCACAGAGGGAGCUCCUGGUGCUUGGGGCUGGCGCUGGAUCUGCACUGGGGACCAGCGGAGUGAUGCACAGCACCAGUGACAGACAGCAGUGCCUCAGGAGCAACAUCCUCACGCGGAGGGCCAACCUGCUUGCUGAAGCAGCUGCCCUACAGCAGCAGAAUUCGGAGCUAAGCCUGAUGCUGGAGCAGUUCAUCACCUCUGGAGAGAGUGCAGUGUCCUCCUGACGUGCAGCCUGCAGACAC